CAGAUGGUUUUUAAAAAGUAAGAAGUGCGAAAAGUCUGAAAUCUGAAAUCUGUUUGGCUAAAUCAACAUUAUUAAAACAAAUAAAAGAAAAAAGGAAUAGCAGCAAAGUGAGAAAAGGAGUUUUUGUACAAGAUGAGUAAGCAUUUCAAAAAAUAUGGAGCACCAAAUCUCAAAACGUCGACCACAGCAAUUCCAAUGAAAAAGGCAAGAUAUGGCAUUGACACUGCCCACCUUGGACAAAACAUUAGUGUAUCCAGUGAAUGCACUAUAGGUGAAGACAUCUUCGAAAAUGUAUUUAGAAAACUACUAUUACACUUAAAAUGCCUUAAUUUUUAGAAUCACGUGGGAUCAGCGUUUCAACGUCGGCCACUAAAUAUACCAAUGAAUCCAACCAAGGCGUGUUUGAAGUUGUUUGCUGCAGCCACUGCAACACGUUUGAAAAGCAGUUACAGGAUAUUGGCAAAAAAUUAGACGACCUGCAAUUGAUAGUCGAAGCACAGAAUACUGCUAUAAUGGAUGCAAUAGCGGUCCAAAAGGUGGCGACUGAGCAAUUGAUUCGCCAAGAAUCAAAAAAUGCACCCAUCACAAAAUAUUUCCCAAUAAGUGACGUCCCAGAAAUGCAUCAGUUGGAGGAAAAAAUUACCCCUACGAACAGA